rnacentral:rRNA from 1 species
UACGUAGGGGGCUAGCGUUGUCCGGAAUCAUUGGGCGUAAAGAGCGUGUAGGCGGUCCGGUAAGUCCGCUGUGAAAGUCGGGGGCUCAACCCUCGAAUGCCGGUGGAUACUGUCGGGCUAGAGUACGGAAGAGGCGAGUGGAAUUCCCGGUGUAGCGGUGAAAUGCGCAGAUAUCGGGAGGAACACCGGUGGCGAAGGCGGUUCUCUGGGCCUUACCUGACACUGAGGAGCGAAAGCGUGGGGAGCGAACAGG